AUAGGGUAGUUGGUUUUCUCUAAAGAAGGAUUUCUAGAAGGCCUCAGUGGAAAAGGAUAGCAGCAGUAGAAUGAGUAAGAAGGAGGGAGAAUAUAGCAGUAUAGACUUAAAAGCAUGAUGGGGCUAACUGAUUGGAGAUGCAUAUGUUUUGUUCAGCGACAGAGCAAAGGCAUGUAGUUCCAGGUCUUUUGGCAAUUCCCAGGUCGUAAGAGGCCUCUGGUAGUCACUUUCUGUGAAUGAUACUGUACACUUAGCUCAAGUCAAACCCCUUUCCUUACCUUCUAGCCUGGUGACCUCCUCAUAUUUCAUGACCCACCUCAAAUGUUACUUUCUCUGGAACUCUUCACUCUUCCCCAAGUGACCUUAGCAGGCUUGAUUAUUUCUUCUUCUAAGUUUCCACCGUAUAUUGGUAUUCCUGUGUCAUUGUAAGUAAAAUAUUCCCACUCUACAGUGGAAUUCAAAGACAUGGACAUGAUUUUCCCAAGGGGACCCAGGUUUUCUGACUCCCAAGAUCAGUACUAUUUCAUUAUAUCACUGCUCCUCUUCUCCUCCAAGAACAGAGAAGAACCUCAUGACUACAAACUUCUAGCCACUAUAGGAAUUUGUUUGUUCAUUUGGUUAAGAAAGUGUGUAAAGGCCUGUGUUAGGUAAGGUUUGGAGUGAAGGGAGAGAGACUUUGCAAAGUAGAAUUCAGUCCCCUUUGUCAACAUCUUACUUUUCCAACAGAUCACCCACCUUGCUUUUCUCCUGCCCUCCUUCCCACAGGCUUAUUUAAAGAGAUCCUUUCUUGUUCUAAUGGUAGUUCUGUUAUCUGUGCUCCAAAGUCCUGACCCACAGUUCUACUCAACAAGGGCAAAUACCUAAAAAAAUAAAAUAUAUGUUUGAGAAGGAAAAAAAGGACAACUACCACUACCCUCUGUGUCCUGUAUCAAUAUCAUCCCCUCCUUCCUUGCCUUUAUAUUAUAAAGAUUGAGGUUAAGAUUGUGGUUGAGGGGAAGCUACAACUCUAUGUCUCUACUUUGUGCCUUCAUUUAUUGCGAGCUCACAGCAACCAGAUGCCUCUUUGCCAUCCCAGCAACUGGCCAGUGCCUUAGCUGGCAUCCAUAUCAUUAGACCCAGAGGACUCUUUGUUGACAUGCCAUGGUAUCUGCCAUUGUUAAGGAUUCCCAUCUUUAAACUUACAUAAACUAUAGAUGUCAUUCUUGACCACUUUUUGUUUUUUCUUUUUGCCCAUAUCUCCUGCCAAAGGAUGAACCUGGGCAGCCAUAUUUUAUACCUAAGAUCACAGGUGAUAGGAGUGGGAGUAGACACCUGGUCAUAGUAGCCUAGAUCCCUGAUGUGACCUGACUCAAAAAGAAGCAUCAGACCUAUCAGAUUCUCUUUCUUAGGAAUUAGAAAUAGAAAACACUGGCAUGGGAGCUAAAAGGUCAUGAUGUACAAAGAGAUUCUGGAAGCAACAUUUGACCUUGUGAAACCAAAAUUGUGAGGGUCAGAAACUACAAAUGAGCAGAGGAAGAGAUCCUGAAACAGAAGAAAGAGAGAAUACAGAAAGAAACAGGCCAUAAGAUUCAGGGAGGUGGAGAGGACACGUGACCCCCAAGAACCUCCUUCCCAGAAGCCAAAAGAGCCACUUCUCUAGAGUUUUCUCCUUCCACUAUUUGUUCCCUCCCAGCCUUCUUUGCAGACUGUUCUCUAUUUGUCAUUUAAAUAUAUUUGUUUUUCCUUUGAAUGCUCUGUGUUGGGCUUUUUUCAAUCCACACACUUUUCAAGAAACGUCGUCAUGGCCUCCACAACUGCCUGUGUCUCAAGAGGCCCACUCAGAUUUAAUUUUUAGGCUAACUCUCGCUCCUGAAUCUCUCUCCUGAGCUUUUAGUCAUGUUUACCCAACUGCCUGAUGGACAUUGCCAUUCCCCAUGGCUGUUCCCCUAGCAUCUCAAGAUCAACAUGUCCAAAAUUAAACUUUCCUGUCAAACCAACUAAAAUCACCCUAGACUCCUCCCUCCAUCCAAAUCAUUUAAAUAUGAAGUCAUUGUCAUUCAACCACUUACAUUUCUCCUCACCAUCUCUCCUCUCCUCACUCCUGCUACUCUCUCGCUCGGUUCAGGGCCUCAUAAGUACCCUCCUGGUUUCCCUGGCAUCAGCCUCCUACCCCUGCCUGUAACUCUUCUAUGGUCCUUCCCAUUUUCUUACAGGAAAAUCCAAGCUCUUUAACAUGGCAUCCUAGUCUUCCAUGAUGCUUUUCCUGGUUACUUCAUCAACACAAUCUUUGGCUGCACUCCAUCUACCACAGUUCCAAAGCAUCUAGACUUUCUGUGAUUCCCACAAUAUCUCCAAUGUUGCCUCCGUCUGGACUUUGCCUUCACUGAUCCCUCUUCCAGGAGAGCUAACAUCCCUUUCUCUUCUAGUCAACACUUUCCUACAUCAUCCUUCAAUAUUUAUGAUCUUGCCUCCACAUAUAAAUCACUAUCUUUUUUUAUUAUGUCCCGACUUCACUGUGUACAGAGAAACAUGACACUAUUGCACGUACUUUUAAAUGGUUUGUAUUUCUCUGUCCAUUCCUGGAGGGGCAGAAAACAUACCAUUUUUACUGUUUGUCCUAUGCCUAGCAGUGAAUACGUUCAGAACAUGCUGUGGAGAAAAGGAAGGAAAUGAAUACACUGAUCCUCCAUGGGGAAAAUACUGCCUUUCCUCUGAGAGAAAAGAAUAAUGCCAGGUAUCCUCAUAUGCGUCAAUUCCUGUGGGAAGCAUUUGCUGAUACUCGGCCCACACCUCCACCACCAUCCAAAUGAAGGCUGAAAGUCUAUCACCAGCAGAAUGGAUAAAAUUAUUGUGAUAUAUUCAUACGAUGGAAUACUUCUUAGCAACAACAAGCAAUGAACUACACAUACAUGCAACAACAUGGAUGGAUUUCAAAAGCAUUACCCUAAGUGGCUAAGUGAAAAAAGACAGACACAACAGAUUACAUUCUGUAUGGUUCCAUUUACAUAACAUUCUAGAAACGUCGAAACUGUAGAAACAGAAAACAGAUUGAUCACUGGUUGCCAGGGGGCUGUGGAUAAAGGAAGGGAUUGUCUACAGAGGGGCAUAAGGAACUUCCUGGGGUGAUGAAAAUGGCCCAUAUGUUUGUCAAAUUUAUUAAACAGUACACUUAAAAAUAGGGUGAAUAUUAUUGCAUAUAAAUAAUUGUACCUCAGUAAAACUUGACUUUUAAAAAAAUUUUAAAGUUUUAUCAGAGAGACAUUAUGAAUGAUAUUUUGUUACUAGACCUAAAUUGUCCUUUCAGAGAAUACAGCCUUAGAAUUUUCCCUCAAAAUGAAAGACAUUUGUGCAUAUUCUAUAGAGGGGAACAAAUAUGCAUUGGCUCAGUGUCUUGUUGAGUUUGUAUGCUAUUUGGAAAUUGGAUUGCUUUGACAAAUUACUUGCUAGCCAGGAAAAGCAUUAAAGGAUUAUUUGUCCACCACGAUUUCAAAUUUUCCCCUAAUGAUAAAAUCAUUUGAAAUAAAAGGUGGCAGCCAAAGUAGUUUUACUCAGGGAGAUAUUAUUUCAUAUAUAGACAUGUAAGAAACAGUAUAAGCAAGAAGAGGAAAUAUAGUCUAAUUUUUAAAUUGUUACACUUACUUUAAGUAUUAUAAAUAACAGCAGCAAACGAUUUCAGUCCUAAAUAGCACAUAUUUCAGAUUUCUUUAUAAGUGCUUCUCAACUUAAAGACUUGAAAUCACAUGUGAAUGUGGGUGUUUAAACUUCACUUUGCAAUUUGAAUCUUUACUUUUCAGGCCACUUUAAUGCCUAUUUUAAUGCUUAACUGUUUGAGGAUACUGUUGGAUUAUAUCGCUGUUUUUACCUGUUUGUGUGCUCUAAUGUUUUCCUACUGUGCUAUAGAAUAUUUUUUUAAUAGCAUUCCAUGUAUUUCAAGAAUUUCUUUGUAAAUAAGUGAUGUGUCUUUCAAUAAAACAACUUGGGGAAGCCUCAAAAUCUUCAUAAAA